rnacentral:lncRNA from 1 species
UUUGAAUAGUGUAAUACUCAUACGAGGAAUCAAAACAAUUGAAAAGGGUGACUAGUUGCAAUUCAGAUAGUGAUAGAAGUACCUGUUGCAAAGGCCCUUUCAACAUUAUCUUCACCAGGUUCAGCUAAACAAGCCACAUUAAGCAAACACCAAGACAUGUUCAAAGCAUGAAAACUGUCAGCUCCAAGGUUUACCAGAGAGGUAGGGAGGAGGGUGAGCGAACGGCUGUGUGGUGUUUAGCUGCUGGACGGGUUAAACCACAACACCCUGAAAUAAUUUUGCCUGAGAUACAUGAUUUCCUUUCUGCAAGGAAGAAAAUCUAAACCAACAACUGGAGAAGUCACAAGGAAAUUACAGAAAUGUAACUUUCAGUUUUCAUUUUAUUAAAAGAAUGUAACUUUAUAACAUGAGUUGCUCACUGCUUCUUCCCUCACUGAAGACUGUGGCUACCAAUAAAUUCUGUGAUACAUGGGUUACA